rnacentral:rRNA from 1 species
GACGAACGCUGGCGGCGUGCUUAACACAUGCAAGUCGAACGGAAAGGCCCUUCGGGGUACUCGAGUGGCGAAAGGGUGAGUAACACGUGGGUGAUCUGCCCUGCACUUUGGGAUAAGCCGGGGAAACUGGGUCUAAUACCGAAUAGGACCACGCGCUUCAUGGUGUGUGGUGGAAAGCUUUUGCGGUGUGGGAUGGGCCCGCGGCCUAUCAGCUUGUUGGUGGGGUAAUGGCCUACCAAGGCGACGACGGGUAGCCGGCCUGAGAGGGUGACCGGCCACACUGGGACUGAGAUACGGCCCAGACUCCUACGGGAGGCAGCAGUGGGGAAUAUUGCACAAUGGGCGCAAGCCUGAUGCAGCGACGCCGCGUGAGGGAUGACGGCCUUCGGGUUGUAAACCUCUUUCAAUAGGGACGAAGCGCAAGUGACGGUACCUAUAGAAGAAGCACCGGCCAACUACGUG